AUAAAGGCACUCGUCACCUCGCGGCGAUAUCAUCAACAUGGUCAAGGUUAUAACAAGGUUACGCAUUAAAAUUUAAUGCAAUUGUCCAACUAAUUCGCCUGGGUGAUUUUACUUUCCUAAAUCCUCGAAAUUAACAUCUGUUGCUUUCAUGGCGGACACAGGACAGUGAAAUAAUCGAUGAAAGUGAGUUGGGCGCUAUCGAUUCAUUGACAAGCGGGUCGAUUACCCAACGUUCAUAAUUCCCUAUUCCACCUAACCAAUGGUUGGUCCUGUUCAGGGUCACAUGACAUGAUGACAUCAGAAUAGGCCUGCGUGGCACUCUUUCAAGGAAAUCGGCCAUGAUGGAAAUCAGGAAAUAUUUCGAUUUUGCUGUAAACUUUUCCGAAGAAAAUGCAUUUAUUUAGAUUCCGCACACAAUCGCUGAUCGUACCAGCAGUACCAAACUGGUUACCUAGAGCAACAAACCCGAUCAAGAAGGCACCUGUCAAAGACCAAUGAAGAAUGUUUUUCAUGAAAGUUUAUUCCUCUGAUCACUGGCCAAGGGAUUCGCAGCAACGGACACAAUACUAUCAUGAUUCCGCACACAAUCGCUGAUCGUACCAGCAGUACCAAACUGGUUACCUAGAGCAACAAACCCGAUCAAGAAGGUACCUGUCAAAGAUCAAUGACGAAUGUUCUUCAUGAAUGAAGGUUGAUUCCUCUGAUCACUGGUCAAGUGAUUCGCAGCAACGGACGCAAUACUAUCAUGAUGGAACCGCAUACACACCACGCGUCAACGAAGACAACCGCCAUCUCGAGAGAGGAGGAAAACCAUUAUGGAAUCUUUGCUCACAGUUGAUCAGUGCUUCAGGCAAGACCUACACUUUGUAAAACUGCAAGCCAAACACUAGUUACACUUGUCAACGGUUCUGCCACAAAUGAUUACAAAUCGAUUUACAAGUUACGACGCGACAGGCUUUAAAGCGUUGCUUUUACACAAGACAAGAUUUUAUUCGUACAGAAAAAGUUGAUAAGCAUAAAAAUACAUGGCAGAGCAGAAACAUGACAAGUGCAACUAGAUACUAGUGAGGUUUCGCAUCCCUAAGAUAUAAAUCUACGUUUACGCUUUGAAAUUUUAAAAAUCGUAACGAAUUUUAGCUCUUCUGGUUAAAAGGAACCGAUUUCACAAUGUUGCGAAGGGCGCGCAAAAGCCUCAGUGCAGAAAACUGCCCAACAUGUAUGUGCGUCAUAGAGGCGUUUUGGAAACGUAAAUGUGAUUGCGAAACCUCCCUACUUUCCAAUGCAUGACACCUGACAAGAACCUGGAGGGUUGAACUUAUAUUGUGGUUUAUUGGGGAGGGGGGGAUGAAAUUAUUGGAAAAAUGUUUAAUUCUUCAUACUUUUACUGAUACCUUUUCAUGAAGCUUUUUUCAUCAAUUGCUGUAAGAAAAAAUACUUUAAAAAGGCAUAGUUUCUUGGCUUCUGAUAUCUUUCGCAAUAACACCUGUUUUGCUGUUAAAAGUUUUAAAGCUUUUCGUAUAAAAAAAGUGAAAAAGUAGAGGCCGACGAGAUUCGAACUCAAGACCUCUGGGUGGUAAGUCACAGGCUCUAACCACUACGCCACCAAGCCACACUCCAAGUAAGGCUGCAAAAGAGCGUGUGCCUGAAGUUUAGGCCAGACGGCUCAUUGAAGAUUUAUGGUGAAUUGGUUGAAUAGGCAGGUUACGAGAUCCUUUGUCAAAUAAGGUGUGUCCAUUUCUUCUGCAACAACACACAAUUUGUAGAUUUAAUUGAAUGAGACGUAGGCCUAUUUCACAGCAAUACAUUGUACAGAAUUAGAUUUAGAUGGAUUGAACUGAUUCAAACUAUGUAAGAAAUACUUUAAUCUCACUUCAAAAGACCAUCUCAUCGAAAGUUAUUAUCAAUUUUUCAGUACCGGACACCGGGUGUUCGGUAUUGCUGAUUCAUGAGGAGGGGGCGGGGCGGGGUCUACUGUAGACCACAUUAGAAAAACUAAAGCUUAAAAAUGCCUUUCUACCAUUUUGAUUGGGAGAUUGUGGGGAAAUAUAUGAAAAAUGGUCUUAUAUAUGUGAUUUUACAGCGUUUCGCCUCACUAUGUAUCUGUGAAAAAACAUUUAUGUAUAUGUUAUACGAUU